rnacentral:rRNA from 1 species
UGGAUUGAGAACAAUGUACAAAUGUUAUCGAUAAACAAUUGGAGGGCAAGUCUGGUGCCAGCAGCCGCGGUAAUUCCAGCUCCAAUAGCGUAUAUUAACGUUGUUGCAGUUAAAAAGCUCGUAGUUGAAAUGUGGGAUGAAGUAUAUAAUGAAUUUCUAAUUCAAUUCUAUAUUGAUUCCCCUCUCCAAUUUAUUAUUAUGGGUAUUAAUUUAUUUGUAAUAAGAAUUGGUCAUUUACUGUGAGAAAAUUAGAGUGUUCAAAGCAGGCAUUUGCUUGAAUAGAUUAGCAUGGAAUAAUACUAAAAGGCUUUUAUGGUCGAUUUAAUUGGUUUGUUCAUAAAAGCAAGAUUAAAAGGAACAGUUGGGGGUAUUCAUAUUCAAUAGUUAGAGGUGAAAUUCUCGGAUUUAUGGAAGAUAAAGUUCCCCAAAAAAAAAAACCUGGGGGUCCCCCCCCCCCCACCC